CUACGGGUGGCUGCAGUAGGGAAUUUUGCGCAAUGGACGGAAGUCUGACGCAGCAACUCCGCGUGAGGGAUGACGGUCUUCGGAUUGUAAACCUCUGUUGGCAGGGAAGAAAGUGACUGUAGGUAAUAUUUACAGUUUUUGACGGUACCUGUCGAGGAAGCCCCGGCUAACUACGUGCCAGCAGCCGCGGUAAUACGUAGGGGGCAAGCGUUGUUCGGAAUCACUGGGCGUAAAGCGAGCGUAGGCGGAAUUGUAAGUUAGAAGUGAAAGGCCCCGGCUUAACCGGGAACGUGCUUUUAAUACUGCUUUUCUUGAAUAUCGGAGAGGUAGAUGGAAUUCCAGGUGUAGCGGUGGAAUGCGUAGAUAUCUGGAAGAACACCAGUUGCGAAGGCGGUCUACUGGCCGAAUAUUGACGCUGAGGCUCGAAAGCUAGGGGAGCGAACAGGAUUAGAUACCCUCGUAGUC
rnacentral:rRNA from 1 species